UUAGCAAGAGAACAACUACAAGAUAAUGGCUGAAGUGAAACUGAAAUUCAUAGAAACUUCUUCACUGAAUAUAGCGAAUCUCUGCAAUUCCCUGCCCCAGAAGUGACCGGUGUAAGGGCGAGGCGAUGGCAGCUGCAAUGGACGUGUUUCAGUUUUGGCAGCAGUUGAAUUGCAGUGGGCCGAGGUUGUCUGGGAGACUGGAGAUAAUGUGUGCCAAGAUCAGUGAUGCCUGGCUUCAUAACUGUGGUCUUGCGAAGUUUACUCAGCUAUGUGAUGAACUGAGGCAGUGGCCUGCUCCACCUGCAAUGAUGUCUGUCUUUGCGUCUUUCAUAAAACUUCUGAAGCUAUUUGCUUGUGUUUAUUGUUUGCACAAUUUUCUCUCACUCCCUCACUCUCUCUCCCUCUCCCUCCCUCCCUCUGUCAUGGUCCGCUCCAUGAAAUCUGCAUUCCGGUUCACGGUCUGGUCCAUGUUCCUUAUUCCAGGUUUUCCGGUUUUCCCCAAUUUCUAUUGAGGCAGCUGACUCUUGUUUGGGCUGGCUUCAUAAAUAGCUUCAGGAUUCAGCCUCUGGCUGCUUGGUUGUUCCUGUCCUAACCCCUUGUCUGUAUCCCUUCACCUUCCUCCUGGAGCCUCACCAAGUGCCAUACCUUCACUGCUGUCAAGUCCAACCACUGGAGCAAGAUAAGGAACUGUCUUUCAUUGUUUUGAACUGUCUCUGUGUCGAUGCCUUCACUAGGUAGGUCUGGCUGUUUGCUGCUACAUUGUGUUGGGAACUGUCUUGUUGUAUUCUGCAUUCUAUGUAAUGUGUCCUGGCCCUGUGUCAUGUACCCAAAGAGGGGUCCUGGCUCUGUUCUGUGUAUGAGUCCUGGCCCUACAUCCUGCUUCCAAGGAGGGGUCCCAGCUCUGUGUUCCAUGUUCCUGCCUCUCCCUUGACCUAGGCUCUGUAUUCCUGUCUCUCCAUCAACAAAGGCUCUGUGUUCCUGUCUCUUCCUUGACCAAGUCAAGGCUUCAGGAUCUCAUCCAGUCCUAGCCACUUCCAAGAACCUUGUCCUGUCCAAGCCACAGCUUUGUGUUCGCAUCUUGUCCAUGUGUCUUGCCCAGCCCAGCAGUACCAUGCCCAGGCCAGUGCUGGGGUUCCCUUGUCCUAUCCACUAGUCUCAUCUCCAGUCCUGUUGCCUCUCCUUGUCCUGUAGCCACGUCUUGUCCUCACCUGGUUCUGGAGUCUAAGCCUGAGUCAAGACCCAGGUUCUGGGUCCUUGUCCAGUACUGGCUCGGAGUCCAAGCCCAGGCUCUUGGUUCCCAGUUCCAUGUCCUGGUUCCACUAUCCUACUCAAGUCCUAGCCCAGGCCUGGAGUCCUUGUCUCGUCCAGGGCUGGUGUCAUGUCCAGUGUCCUUUCUUCCCCACUUUCCUUGCUUCCUUCUCACACCUAGUGCUGUUCCUGGUAGUUCAGUGUCUGUGUCUUGCAUUUGAGUCCAUUCCCAAUGCCCACCUUAUGACACUCUCUCCCUCUCCUCUCCCUCCUUCCCUCCCUCCCACACUGGGUGUUUGACAGUCUUGUUUUAAUGGGUUCUUUUGUUUCGUGGCUGCCUGUAAGGAGCUAGAUCUCAAGAUUGUACAAUUUAUGCAUACUUCCAUGAUAAAUGCACAUUGAACUUCUGAACUUUGGAAGGUGGUUUCUUAAAUGUCAAAUAAUAUGCUGCCAUCACCUCACUAUUCACCUUCACAUUUAAUAUUAAUAAGAACUAUUUU